GACGAACGCUGGCGGCGUGCUUAACACAUGCAAGUCGAACGGAGUGGCGAACGGGUGAGUAACACGUGGGUGACCUGCCCUGCACUUCGGGAUAAGCCUGGGCAACUGGGUCUAAUACCGGAUAGUGUGGGUUGGGCCCGCGGCCUAUCAGCUUGUUGGUGGGGUAAUGGCCGACCAAGGCGGCGACGGGUGGCCGGCCGUGGAGGGUGGACGGCCACAUUGGGACUGAGAGACGGCGCAGAGGCCUAUGGGGGGCAGCAGGGGGGAAUAUUGCACAAUGGGCGGAAGCCUGAUGCAGAGACGCCGCGUGGGGGAUGACGGCCUUCGGGUUGUAAACUCCUUUCACCAUCGACGCGGUAGAUGGAGAAGAAGCACCGGCUAACUACGUGCCAGCCGCCGCGGUAAUUC
rnacentral:rRNA from 1 species